rnacentral:rRNA from 1 species
ACUGCAUGGUCCGGUGUGAAAAACUCCGGUGGUAUAAGAUGGACCCGCGUUGGAUUAGCUGGUUGGUGGGGUAACGGCCCACCAAGGCGACGAUCCAUAGCCGGCCUGAGAGGGUGAACGGCCACAUUGGGACUGGGACACGGCCCAGACUCCUACGGGAGGCAGCAGUGGGGAAUAUUGCACAAUGGGGGAAACCCUGAUGCAGCGACGCCGCGUGAAGGAAGAAGUAUCUCGGUAUGUAAACUUCUAUCAGCAGGGAAGAUAGUGACGGUACCUGACUAAGAAGCCCCGGCUAACUACGUGCCAGCAGCCGCGGUAAUACGUAGGGGGCAAGCGUUAUCCGGAUUUACUGGGUGUAAAGGGAGCGUAGACGGUGUGGCAAGUCUGAUGUGAAAGGCAUGGGCUCAACCUGUGGACUGCAUUGGAAACUGUCAUACUUGAGUGCCGGAGGGGUAAGCGGAAUUCCUAGUGUAGCGGUGAAAUGCGUAGAUAUUAGGAGGAACACCAGUGGCGAAGGCGGCUUACUGGACGGUAACUGACGUUGAGGCUCGAAAGCGUGGGGAGCAAACAGGAUUAGAUACCCUGGUAGUCCACGCCGUA